rnacentral:rRNA from 1 species
AUUGAACGCUGGCGGCAGGCCUAACACAUGCAAGUCGAGCGGAGCGGCGGACGGGUGAGUAAUGCCUAGGAGUCUGCCUGGUAGUGGGGGAUAACGUCCGGAAACGGGCGCUAAUACCGCAUACUAUCGGAUGAGCCUAGGUCGGAUUAGCUAGUUGGUGGGGUACAGGCGUACCAAGGCGACGAGCCGUAACUGGUCUGAGAUGAUGAUCAGUCACAAUGGAACUGAGACACGGUCCAGACUCCUACGGGAGGCAGCAGUGGGGAAUAGUGGACAAGUGGCGAAAGCCUGAUCCAGCCAUGCCGCGUGUGUGAAGAAGGUCUUCGGAUUGUAAAGCACUUUAAGUUGGGAGGCGUUACCAACAGAAUAAGCACCGGCUAACUUCGUGCCAGCAGCCGCGGUAAUUC